CCUACGGGGGGCAGCAGUGGGGAAUCUUCCGCAAUGGGCGAAAGCCUGACGGAGCAACGCCGCGUGAUCGAAUGAAGGCCUUCGGGUUGUAAAGAUCUGUUGACAGGGACGAAUAAGCAAUGCGAAGAGUUUUGUGUAUUACGGUACCUGUUUAGAAAGCUCCGGCUAACUACGUGCCAGCAGCCGCGGUAAUACGUAGGGAGCAAGCGUUGUCCGGGAUGACUUGGCGUAAGGGUCGCGUAGGUGGGCGCUUAGGUCAGGUGUGAAAACGCCGGGCUCAGCCUGGGGACUGCACUUGAAACUGGGUGUCUUGAGGGCAGGAGAGGAAAGUGGAAUUGCUAGUGUAGCGGUGAAAUGCGUAGAUAUUAGGAGGAACACCAGUGGCGAAGGCGACUUUCUGGACUGUGCCUGACGCUGAGGCGCGAAAGCGUGGGUAGCGAACGGGAUUAGAUACCCUUGUAGUC
rnacentral:rRNA from 1 species